rnacentral:rRNA from 1 species
AGAGUUUGAUCCUGGCUCAGGAUUAACGUUGGUAGUAUGCCUAACACAUGCAAGUCGAACGGGGUUAUAGUAAUAUAAUCCAGUGGCGAACGGGUGAGUAAUACUUAUCUUACUUGCCAAUUAGUGGGGGAUAACUAUGGGAAACCAUGGCUAAUACCGCAUUUGUUGCUUCGGUAAUAAAAGGGAGUCGCAAGAUUUCU